AAAAAAAGAAAAAAGAAAAAGGGAAGAACAAAUUGAAAUGCAGUCUGUCUGGUAUUCUUCCUUUCGUGUGCCUCAACAAACAUAAUAUCAGAAUUCUUCUUCAUGGUGGGAUACCACGAGAAGUACAUACAUGAGGCACACGAUUUACAGAAGAAGAAUAGAAGACUAAAUGAAGAAUA
rnacentral:ribozyme from 1 species